CCCUUAGAUAUUCUGGGCUGCACGCGCGCUACACUGAAGCUAUCAACACGUUUUCCCUCCCUGAGAAGGGCGGGUAACCUUUUGAAUCAGCUUCGUGGUAGGGAUCGGGGCUUGCAAUUGUUCCCCGUGAACCAGGAAUUCCUAGUAGACGCGAGUCAUAAGCUCGCAUCGAUUAAGUCCCUGCCCUUUGUACACACCGCCCGUCGCUACUACCGAUUGAACGUUUUAGUGAGGCAUUUGGACCGACGCAUCUCAGUUUAACCGCUGGUUUGUGUUGGAAAGACUUCCAAACUUGAGCGUUUAGAGGAAGUAAAAGUCGUAACA
rnacentral:rRNA from 1 species